AGCUGAUCACUGGGUUUAAAGCGUGCGCAGGCGGUUUUGUAAGACAGAGGUGAAAUCCCCGGGCUCAACCUGGGAACUGCCUUUGUGACUGCAAGGCUGGAGUGCGGCAGAGGGGGAUGGAAUUCCGCGUGUAGCAGUGAAAUGCGUAGAUAUGCGGAGGAGCACCGAUGGCGAAGGCAAUCCCCUGGGCCUGCACUGACGCUCGUGCACGAAAGCGUGGGAGCAAACA
rnacentral:rRNA from 1 species